CUUGCAAACUAAAGAUGGCGACCGGCGCACGGGUGAGUAACACGUAUCCAACCUGCCGAUAACUCGGGGAUAGCCUUUCGAAAGAAAGAUUAAUAUCCGAUGGUAUAUUAAAACCGCAUGGUUUUACUAUUAAAGAAUUUCGGUUAUCGAUGGGGAUGCGUUCCAUUAGUCUGUUGGCGGGGUAACGGCCCACCAAGACUACGAUGGAUAGGGGUUCUGAGAGGAAGGUCCCCCACAUUGGAACUGAGACACGGUCCAA
rnacentral:rRNA from 1 species